GGCGAACGGGUGAGUAACACGUGAGCAACCUGCCCUGGACUCUGGGAUAAGCGCUGGAAACGGCGUCUAAUACUGGAUAUGAGCUCCUUCCGCAUGGUGGGGGUUGGAAAGAUUUUUCGGUCUGGGAUGGGCUCGCGGCCUAUCAGCUUGUUGGUGAGGUAAUGGCUCACCAAGGCGUCGACGGGUAGCCGGCCUGAGAGGGUGACCGGCCACACUGGGACUGAGACACGGCCCAGACUCCUACGGGAGGCAGCAGUGGGGAAUAUUGCACAAUGGGCGGAAGCCUGAUGCAGCAACGCCGCGUGAGGGAUGACGGCCUUCGGGUUGUAAACCUCUUUUAGCAGGGAAGAAGCGAAAGUGACGGUACCUGCAGAAAAAGCGCCGGCUAACUACGUGCCAGCAGCCGCGGUAAUACGUAGGGCGCAAGCGUUAUCCGGAAUUAUUGGGCGUAAAGAGCUCGUAGGCGGUUUGUCGCGUCUGCUGUGAAAUCCCGAGGCUCAACCUCGGGCCUGCAGUGGGUACGGGCAGACUAGAGUGCGGUAGGGGAGAUUGGAAUUCCUGGUGUAGCGGUGGAAUGCGCAGAUAUCAGGAGGAACACCGAUGGCGAAGGCAGAUCUCUGGGCCGUAACUGACGCUGAGGAGCGAAAGGGUGGGGAGCAAACAGGCUUAGAUACCCUGGUAGUCCACCCCGUAAACGUUGGGAACUAGUUGUGGGGACCAUUCCACGGUUUCCGUGACGCAGCUAACGCAUUAAGUUCCCCGCCUGGGGAGUACGGCCGCAAGGCUAAAACUCAAAGGAAUUGACGGGGACCCGCACAAGCGGCGGAGCAUGCGGAUUAAUUCGAUGCAACGCGAAGAACCUUACCAAGGCUUGACAUAUACGAGAACGGGCCAGAAAUGGUCAACUCUUUGGACACUCGUAAACAGGUGGUGCAUGGUUGUCGUCAGCUCGUGUCGUGAGAUGUUGGGUUAAGUCCCGCAACGAGCGCAACCCUCGUUCUAUGUUGCCAGCACGUAAUGGUGGGAACUCAUGGGAUACUGCCGGGGUCAACUCGGAGGAAGGUGGGGAUGACGUCAAAUCAUCAUGCCCCUUAUGUCUUGGGCUUCACGCAUGCUACAAUGGCCGGUACAAAGGGCUGCAAUACCGUAAGGUGGAGCGAAUCCCAAAAAGCCGGUCCCAGUUCGGAUUGAGGUCUGCAACUCGACCUCAUGAAGUCGGAGUCGCUAGUAAUCGCAGAUCAGCAACGCUGCGGUGAAUACGUUCCCGGGUCUUGUACACACCGCCCGUCAAGUCAUGAAAGUC
rnacentral:rRNA from 1 species